UACGUAGGGCGCAAGCGUUAUCCGGAAUUAUUGGGCGUAAAGCGCGCGCAGGCGGUCCUUUAAGUCUGAUGUGAAAGCCCACGGCUUAACCGUGGAGGGUCAUUGGAAACUGGAGGACUUGAGUACAGAAGAGGAGAGUGGAAUUCCACGUGGAGCGGUGAAAUGCGUAGAGAUGUGGAGGAACACCAGUGGCGAAGGCGACUCUCUGGUCUGUAACUGACGCUGAGGCGCGAAAGCGUGGGUAGCGAACAGG
rnacentral:rRNA from 1 species